UGGAGGAGGACUGGGAAGAGCAUUAUGAUACAAGUAUGUAUCAUUUCAGUGAGCAUGUGGCUCCAGCAAGAGAGAGUAAGAGCUCGAGUGAAGCUCACAGAAACCAGAGCCUAUUGCAGAAGUGGUGCAAGAAGCAGGACAAGUUCAUCAACAAAUGCCUGAAGAGUAUUAAGUCUCUGAAGGCCAUGGUUAGCUGCUCCUCUUAAAGCACAACAAUACCA
rnacentral:pre_miRNA from 1 species